rnacentral:tRNA from 1 species
GAGGGUGUAGCUCAGUGGUAGAGUGUGUGCUUAGCAUGCACAGAGUCCUGAGUUCAAUCCCCAGUACCUCCA